UGACCUCGAAUCAGGUAGGGAUACCCGCUGAACUUAAGCAUAUCAAUAAGCGGAGGAAAAGAAACCAACAGGGAUUACCUCAGUAACGGCGAGUGAAGCGGUAACAGCUCAAAUUUGAAAUCUGGUCCGGUUACGGGCCCGAGUUGUAAUUUGUAGAAGAUGCUUUGGUAAUGAGUCCGGCCUAAGUUCCUUGGAACAGGACGUCAUAGAGGGUGAGAACCCCGUAUGCGGCCGAGUACUCAGUGCCAAGUAAAGCUCUUUCGACGAGUCGAGUUGUUUGGGAAUGCAGCUCAAAAUGGGUGGUAAAUUUCAUCUAAAGCUAAAUAUUGGCCAGAGACCGAUAGCGCACAAGUAGAGUGAUCGAAAGAUGAAAAGCACUUUGGAAAGAGAGUUAAACAGUACGUGAAAUUGUUGAAAGGGAAGCGCUUGCAACCAGACUUGGGCACUGUGGAUCAUCCGAGGUUCUCCUCGGUGCACUCGGCAGUGCGCAGGCCAGCAUCAGUUUGGGUGGUUGGAUAAAGACUUGUGGAAUGUAGCUCCUUUCGGGGAGUGUUAUAGCCACAGGUGCCAUGCGACCAACCCGGACUGAGGACCGCGCUUCGGCUAGGAUGCUGGCGUAAUGGUUGUAAGCGACCCGUCUUGAAACACGGACCAAGGAGUCUAACAUCUAUGCGAGUGUUUGGGUGUUAAACCCAUACGCGGAAUGAAAGUGAACGUAGGUGAGAACCUGUAAGGGGGCAUCAUCGACCGAUCCGGAUGUCUUCGGAUGGAUUUGAGUAAGAGCAUAGCUGUUGGGACCCGAAAGAUGGUGAACUAUGCCUGAAUAGGGUGAAGCCAGAGGAAACUCUGGUGGAGGCUCGCAGCGGUUCUGACGUGCAAAUCGAUCGUCAAAUUUGGGUAUAGGGGCGAAAGACUAAUCGAACCAUCUAGUAGCUGGUUCCUGCCGAAGUUUCCCUCAGGAUAGCAGUGUUGAAUUCAGUUUUAUGAGGUAAAGCGA
rnacentral:ncRNA from 1 species